GGGGAAAGGAAGAGAGAAAAGAGGGGACCCGAGAGAGAGGGAAGGCGCUGGGGAAGGAGAAGCUCGCCGCCGCCGUGGAGUAUUGCUGAUCGCGCCGCCGUUCGUCCUUGCCACCGCCGCGCCGUGCUACACACCGUCGCCGCCACUGUUUCGUCACGAGUGAAGAACGCGCGAGGGAGGAAACAGAACCGCGAGGGAGCUCAGCCAUGGAGAGAGGAGAUGCGCGUCGGAUCUGUUGCCGCCGGUCCGCCCAGCUGACCCGUCGCCAAACCACGUCGCCAUCCGUGAAUCUGUCUCUGUCGCCGCUACCAAAGGUCGCCGUCGGAGCCGCCGCUCCACUUCUGUCAUUCUUCUUCUUAUAGUGAGUUGCCCGCACCUUGAAGCUCUUUCUGUAAUCAUUCUAGCUACCUGUGGUUAAGGACUCUGAUGUAUAGAUGUUGUAGGGUUAAUUUUAUGGGUUUGCAUUUCAAAAAAUUAAGGUUGUUGCCGAGCAAAUGAAGCUCCUGGCCGCUGUCGGAGCUGCUGCUGGUUAAGUUUGGGGUGGCUGGCGCGUUGUUCUUUUAUUCCAGAAUUAAUAACCGGGGUUGCAUGUUGGGACUUAAAGAUGUAUAUGGUGUGGCGAAAGUGUGCGGGCUAUGAAUUAAAGCUGCUGUUGACUUCGGGUUGAGAGGAAAGGAAUUUCUUGAGUCAUUUGGAUUGUGGUUUGAACGUGUCGAGGUAGGGGUCUUUUCAAAGAACUUAAUUUUAUGAUUUGGAGUUGUUAUAAAUGGAUAUUAAUGUGAUAAAUGUACUUUUGGUGAUUGUAUAAGCCUUAUGUAUUGCUGGGCUGUUUUGUGAUGAACGUAUUUGUGGUUGGAUUGGAUUGUUGUUUGAUUUGGUUAUAUGGUUGGUUGCUGAAAUAUUUCAUUACAA